rnacentral:tRNA from 1 species
CAACGGAUUGAAAAUCCGUGUGUCCCCAGUUCGAUCCUGGGUCUCGCCACCA